rnacentral:rRNA from 1 species
GUACACUCCUACGGGAGGCAGCAGUGAGGAAUAUCGGACAAUGGGUGGAAGCCUGAUCCAGCCAUCCCGCGUGCAGGAAGACGGCCCUAUGGGUUGUAAACUGCUUUUAUCUGGGGAUAAACCUACUUACGUGUAAGUAGCUGAAGGUACCAGAAGAAUAAGCACCGGCUAACUCCGUGCCAGCAGCCGCGGUAAUACGGAGGGUGCAAGCGUUAUCCGGAUUUAUUGGGUUUAAAGGGUCCGUAGGCGGACUGAUAAGUCAGUGGUGAAAUCCGACAGCUUAACUGUCGAACUGCCAUUGAUACUGUUAGUCUUGAGUAAGGUUGAAGUGGCUGGAAUAAGUAGUGUAGCGGUGAAAUGCAUAGAUAUUACUUAGAACACCAAUUGCGAAGGCAGGUCACUAAGUCUUAACUGACGCUGAUGGACGAAAGCGUGGGGAGCGAACAGGAUUAGAAACCCCAGUAGUCCC